GGUUAUGAUCAUACCAACACUAAUGCACCGGAUCCCAUCAGAACUCCACAGUUAAGCGUGAUUGGGCGAGAGUAGUACUAGGAUGGGUGACCCCCUAGGAAGUCCUCGUGUUGCAACCC
rnacentral:rRNA from 1 species